rnacentral:rRNA from 1 species
ACCUGCAGCUGCAUCACCCUGGGCUGUGAUCUUGUCAUCUCUCAUAAGUUAAACAGGGCUAAUCCUGGUCAGUGCUUGGAUGGGAGAGCCCCAGAGAAAAACCCAAAUGCUUGAGGUA